AGGUCCAGUGAGUAGGUUGGCAUUAGAGGAGGGAAGAGCGUAGGCUGGUUGUAGGAGGAAAUCGGCGAGGUAAGGGGUGUUUGGCGGGAUCGGGGCACCCCCUGCUGGCAUCAUCUGCUGCCAGCCUCUCCUCCGGACCCGGAGGGAGGUGGGUCACGAAGGAGGGCGCCAGGAGAGGAUUCUGAUCAACCCCCCCCCCCGUGAGGGAAACCUUCUUCUCCCCUGAGGCCGUUCUGGCUCCCAGAAACUGAGUGCACGCUGGGAGUGGGGACUUUCCGGUGUACUUUCCCUGGAGAAGCUACGAGAGACUUUGCCUUCCUCAAGACUCAACCUACUGUAGGGGUGCUGGCGGAUUCGGUGGCUGGUCUCCACAGACCAUAAUCGAGGUCUACUGGGGAUGGGAAUACGGAGCGUAACUACGCCCCUCUGGAUUUCGCUUCCCCUAACUACCAGCAGCAGCAGCAGCAGCAGCAGCAGCAGGAGCAUCGGGAGAAGCGGGUCCACCAGCUUUCCCCCCCUGGGUUGGCACAUCCCCCCCUUCCCACUCCCUCCUCUCUCUCGGAGGGGAUCCCCCACCCUCCUU